GACAGAGGGUGCAAACGUUGUUCGGAAUUACUGGGCGUAAAGCGCGUGUAGGCGGCCAUCUAAGUCGAACGUGAAAUCCCUGGGCUCAACCCAGGAACUGCGUCCGAUACUGGUUGGCUUGAAUUCGGGAGAGGGAUGCGGAAUUCCAGGUGUAGCGGUGAAAUGCGUAGAUAUCUGGAGGAACACCGGUGGCGAAGGCGGCAUCCUGGACCGAUAUUGACGCUGAGGCGCGAAAGCCAGGGGAGCAAACGGG
rnacentral:rRNA from 1 species